rnacentral:rRNA from 1 species
GCGUUGUCCGGAUUUAUUGGGCGUAAAGAGCGUGUAGGCGGUUUGGUAGGUCCGUUGUGAAAACUCGAGGCUCAACCUCGAGACGCCGAUGGAAACCAUCAGACUAGAGUCCGGAAGAGGAGAGUGGAAUUCCUGGUGUAGCGGUGAAAUGCGCAGAUAUCAGGAAGAACACCCGUGGCUAAGGCGGCUCUCUAGUACGGUACUGACGCUGAGACGCGAAAGCGUGGGGAGCGAACAGG